CGGCGGACGGGUGAGUAACGCGUGGGUGACCUGCCCCAUACCGGGGGAUAACAGCUGGAAACGGCUGCUAAUACCGCAUAAGCGCACAGAGCUGCAUGGCUCGGUGUGAAAAACUCCGGUGGUAUGAGAUGGACCCGCGUCUGAUUAGGUAGUUGGUGGGGUAACGGCCUACCAAGCCGACGAUCAGUAGCCGACCUGAGAGGGUGACCGGCCACAUUGGGACUGAGACACGGCCCAA
rnacentral:rRNA from 1 species